AUGUCACCCCGUGCCAUCACCACUCAGACCCCACCGCCCCGCAUCUCCGGCCAAGUGGACGGACCGACCGCGCGGGAGUAUACUGCCAACUGCUCCUACUUUACGACGCCUGAACUCAAUUAUCUAUGGGUACGGUACGGGACACAGAGGAAACGAGGCGAUCAUGACAACGCGCUCGCUCCAUCUGCAUGGCCGCUCUCCUCUCCUCGCCCCGGUGCCUGCCGUGCCGACACGAGCGAGGCGCGUGAUCGCCAGCCAACAAAGAUCGCGAGCGAGCGAGCUGCCACCAUCGCUUCGCCGCAUCUUGGCGCCGGCCUCCUCCCACCCUACUUCGCAGGACUCCGACGACCAGCGCAACGACUCAUGGUUUGGCGCCGAGAGAGUACGAGCCUGUAUCUUCCUUCCCUCGCCUUUUCGUCGUUAUUGAAAAUCUGCGUGAAGCUUGCCUCCUCUUGCACGGCUCUUGGAUGUGAACGUGAGCUCGCCCACACUCCAUUGUGUACUCUGCUGUGCUCCACUUUUUAUUACAAAAUAAAAAGAAGAGAGGAAAGUUCGGGCUGA
rnacentral:rRNA from 1 species